UCCAGUUCAAGGUCUAGGCCUUAAAGGGCCUUGCAGUCUCCAUUUUUGCUCUUUUGCAAACUCUGUGGAAGGGAAGAGAGGCACACAGCCAAAAGCCUCCAGCGAGGUCCCAGACACAUGCAUGAAGCCAUCUAGGAUCCUUCAGCCCUCGUGGAGCCAUCCCAGCUGACAUCACACAGAGAGGAGUCCGGCUGCCCCUGGUAAUCCUUGCCCAAAUUCUUAACCACCUGAAUUGUCAGCAACUAAAAGAUCGUAGAUUUCUUUUCCUUCUGGAGAAGGAAAUGGCAACCCACUCCAGUAUUCUGACCUGGAAAAUCCCAUGGACAGAGGAGCCUGGUAGGCUACAGUACAUGGGGUCGCAAAGAGUCGGACACAACUGAGCGACUUCACUUCACUUUCACUAGAUUGUAAGCUCUGUGAGAACAGAAGACACCAUACUUUGUCCAUUCUUGUAUCCCCACUGUCAAUAAAUAAUUGCUAAAUACAUGAA